rnacentral:rRNA from 1 species
CCUACGGGAGGCUGCAGUGGGGAAUAUUGCACAAUGGGCGCAAGCCUGAUGCAGCCAUGCCGCGUGUGUGAAGACGGCCUUCGGGUUGUAAAGCACUUUCAGCGGGGAGGAAGGCGGUGAGGUUAAUAACCUCAUCGAUUGACGUUACCCGCAGAAGAAGCACCGGCUAACUCCGUGCCAGCAGCCGCGGUAAUACGGAGGGUGCAAGCGUUAAUCGGAAUUACUGGGCGUAAAGCGCACGCAGGCGGUCUGUCAAGUCGGAUGUGAAAUCCCCGGGCUCAACCUGGGAACUGCAUUCGAAACUGGCAGGCUAGAGUCUUGUAGAGGGGGGUAGAAUUCCAGGUGUAGCGGUGAAAUGCGUAGAGAUCUGGAGGAAUACCGGUGGCGAAGGCGGCCCCCUGGACAAAGACUGACGCUCAGGUGCGAAAGCGUGGGGAGCAAACAGGAUUAGAUACCCGAGUAGUC